UACAGAGGGGGCAAGCGUUGUUCGGAAUUACUGGGCGUAAAGGGCGCGUAGGCGGCCUGUUAAGUCAGACGUGAAAUCCCUCGGCUCAACCGGGGAACUGCGUCUGAUACUGGCGGGCUUGAAUUCGGGAGAGGGAUGCGGAAUUCCAGGUGUAGCGGUGAAAUGCGUAGAUAUCUGGAGGAACACCGGUGGCGAAGGCGGCAUCCUGGACCGGCAUUGACGCUGAAUAGCGAAAGCCAGGGGAGCAAACGGG
rnacentral:rRNA from 1 species